rnacentral:rRNA from 15 species
GCUUAACACAUGCAAGUCGAACGGGAUACUUCGGUAUCUAGUGGCGGACGGGUGAGUAACGCGUGAGAAUCUGGCUUUAGGUUCGGGACAACAGUGGGAAACUGCUGCUAAUACCGGAUGUGCCUUAGGGUGAAAGAUUAAUUGCCUGAAGAAGAGCUCGCGUCUGAUUAGCUAGUUGGUGAGGUAAAGGCUCACCAAGGCGACGAUCAGUAACUGGUCUGAGAGGAUGACCA